rnacentral:rRNA from 1 species
GACGAACGCUGGCGGCGUGCUUAACACAUGCAAGUCGAACGGUAAGGCCCUUCGGGGUACACGAGUGGCGAACGGGUGAGUAACACGUGGGUGAUCUGCCCUGCACUUCGGGAUAAGCCUGGGAAACUGGGUCUAAUACCGGAUAGGACCACUGCCUGCAUGGGUGGUGGUGGAAAGCUUUUGCGGUGUGGGAUGGGCCCGCGGCCUAUCAGCUUGUUGGUGGGGUGAUGGCCUACCAAGGCGACGACGGGUAGCCGGCCUGAGAGGGUGACCGGCCACAGUGGGACUGAGAUACGGCCCAGACUCCUACGGGAGGCAACAGUGGGGAAUAUUGCACAAUGGGCGCAAGCCUGAUGCAGCGACGCCGCGUGAGGGAUGACGGCCUUCGGGUUGUAAACCUCUUUCAGCACCGACGAAGCGCAAGUGACGGUAGGUGCAGAAGAAGGACCGGCCAACUACGUGCCAGCCGCCGCGGUAA